CCCGACAUCUCUGUUUCUUCUUCCUUCUUUCUUCUUCGUCUUCUUCGAUCUUCUUCGUCUUCGUCGUUCUUCUUCUUUAUCUUCUCCUUCUUCGUUCUUUUCUCUUCUUUCUUUUUUCUUUUUCUUCUUCUCCUUCUCGUAUGUAUUCCUUCACCUUCCACAUUUUCCUCCGUUCUGCACCCCUGGACCGCGCGCCGCCUCCACCUUCCUCGGCCGUUGACCGUGCUCCGCUGCUCCUUUCUUGACCCGUAACCAUCACUGCCCGCCGACGUCCUCAAAUUCCAAACCUAGUUUUUCCCGAAUCAACCAACAAGAUAGACAUAAAAGAUUAUAAAGUUAGCUUUACUAGUUUUGAUAUCGAUCGCCUAGGUUUUACAAAGUUGUCUUGUUUCAUGCAGAUCAUUAUGAAAGUUGUGGAGUGCUAUGCACCAGGAGCUAUUGUCCUCCAAUGUGGAGCAGAUUCACCCUCUGGGGACUGAUUAAGAUACUAUAACCUUUCCAUUGAUGGUGUUAUGCUUGUAAUUUAUAUAGUGUUUUUUGUCUUCACGUAAUAUUAUGGAUUAAUUGAUGAUUGAAUGAACUUGUCACCAGUAACAUUUCAAAGUAUCGUAAUUUAUGUUGAAUUGGAUAUAUUCUUGCAAGGCAUGCUGCAUAUGUCAAUUUUGUCAAGCAAUUCAAUUUGUCUUUGUUGGUUUUUUUUUUUU